UACGUAGGGUGCAAGCGUUGUCCGGAAUUAUUGGGCGUAAAGAGCUUGUAGGCGGUUUGUCGCGUCUGCUGUGAAAAUCCGGGGCCCAACCCCGGACUUGCAGUGGGUACGGGCAGACUAGAGUGUGGUAGGGGAGACUGGAAUUCCUGGUGUAGCGGUGAAAUGCGCAGAUAUCAGGAGGAACACCGAUGGCGAAGGCAGGUCUCUGGGCCACUACUGACGCUGAGAAGCGAAAGCAUGGGGAGCGAACAGG
rnacentral:rRNA from 1 species